UGUACAACGUGAUCGACUACUGUCGCGCGUGCUUACGUAUCCCUACUGAGCCCGCCAAUGUGACUGGGAAACUAUAUAGAAAGACGGCCGCUCGACCCCCCACCAAUCAGAGCCGAGCGACCGCCACCUGACGUCAUCGCCAUCUUGAUUGCUGAUUCGCGCGAUAGCGCGCGGCCAAUCAACGUGUCGUACCGAGACGUCCACUUCCACGGAAUCGAGGAACCCACCGCGAAGAACCAGAUCCCCUUUUCCAGGAAGCCAUGUUGGAACCCCCUCCGUCGACAAAUGGUAGUCAAGUAUUUAAUUAGCGGCGUUUUGCGCAUCCUGUUGGAGCAAAUGAUUAGACAGCUGAUCUUUAUGCAAAAUGCCCGGUGAAACGCGCACAGAAAUGGAAGAAAGAAUUUAUCGCGACAGUGAGAGUGGCUGUUGUCGUUGCGGAAAAUCAUCUGUCGCAGAGGAUCCGCGCAGAAACUGUCUAUUUCGGUGCGGGAAACUCCCUCGUGUGCGGCCAGCUCUUUGUUCUUGUUUCGAUAUGCCCGUGCACGUGCAGCGAUUUCCGGCAGUCCGGAGCAACGUACGUGUGAACGCACUUUGCACAAUAAUAAAAAACAAAACAGCUUA